CCACCAGGAGUGGAAUCUGCGGCUUAAUUUGACAACGCGGGAAAACUCACCAGGUCAGGACACGGUAAGGAUUGACGGACUGAAGGCUCUUUCUCGAUUCCGUGGAAAGUGGUGCAUGGCCGUUUUGGUUGGUGGAUCGAUCCGUCUGGUUAAUUCCGUUAACGAACGAGACCUCGGCACUCCGAAUAGCGCGGCGGACGUCGCGGCCUCCGGGCCGUCUUCCGCACGAGCUUCUUAGAGGGACCGUCCCCCGCCGGGGAAGGAGGUGCGAGGCAACGACAGGUCUGUGAUGCCCUUAGAUGUUCUGGGCCGCACGCGCAUUACACUGACGCGUCCAACGGGUGACUCCCGACCCGAAGGGGCCGGGGAAUCCGCAAGGCGCGUCGUGAUGGGGAUUGAACGUUGCAAUUGUUGUUCACGAACGAGG
rnacentral:rRNA from 1 species